GCGCCAGUGGUGUAGCGGCAUCAUGCGAGGUUGCCAAUCUCGUGACCCGGGUUCGAGUCCCGGCUGGCGCA